rnacentral:rRNA from 1 species
GACGAACGCUGGCGGCGUGCUUAACACAUGCAAGUCGAACGGAAAGGCCCUGCUUUUGUGGGGUGCUCGAGUGGCGAACGGGUGAGUAACACGUGAGUAACCUGCCCUUGACUUUGGGAUAACUUCAGGAAACUGGGGCUAAUACCGGAUAGGAGCUCCUGCUGCAUGGUGGGGGUUGGAAAGUUUCGGCGGUUGGGGAUGGACUCGCGGCUUAUCAGCUUGUUGGUGGGGUGGUGGCUUACCAAGGCUUUGACGGGUAGCCGGCCUGAGAGGGUGACCGGCCACAUUGGGACUGAGAUACGGCCCAGACUCCUACGGGGGGCAGCAGUGGGGAAUAUUGCACAAUGGGCGGAAGCCUGAUGCAGCAACGCCGCGUGCGGGAUGACGGCCUUCGGGUUGUAAACCGCUUUCGCCUGUGACGAAGCGUGAGUGACGGUAAUGGGUAAAGAAGCACCGGCUAACUACGUG